UACGAAGGGUGCAAGCGUUACUCGGAAUUACUGGGCGUAAAGCGUGCGUAGGUGGUUCGUUAAGUCUGAUGUGAAAGCCCUGGGCUCAACCUGGGAAUGGCAUUGGAUACUGGCGGACUGGAGUGCGGUAGAGGAUGGCGGAAUUCCCGGUGUAGCAGUGAAAUGCGUAGAGAUCGGGAGGAACACCGGUGGCGAAGGCGACAUCCUGGACCGGUAUUGACGCUGAUGCGCGAAAGCCAGGGGAGCAAACGGG
rnacentral:rRNA from 1 species